UACAGAGGGUGCGAGCGUUAAUCGGAAUUACUGGGCGUAAAGCGUGCGUAGACGGUAAUGUAAGUCAGACGUGAAAUCCCCCGGCUUAACCUGGGAACUGCGUCUGAUACUGGGAGGCUAGAGUAUGGGAGAGGGAUGUAGAAUUCCAGGUGUAGCGGUGAAAUGCGUAGAUAUCUGGAGGAAUACCGGUGGCGAAGGCGGCAUCCUGGACCAUUACUGACGCUGAGGCGCGAAAGCUAGGGGAGCAAACGGG
rnacentral:rRNA from 1 species